UUUUUGGCUGAUGGUGCACGCGCGUGGCGAUGGGGGUAUAGCUCGCGUCCGUGCGGUACACGGGUUUGUUUUUGUUAGAAUGUCAUUCUUUUCUUUUCCAGAUGGAUCGGCUGGCAUAUUUAGCGUAGCCCGGUCCUUCAUUCGAAUCAUUUUGCCGAGGAGUUGGGGAACCGGGACUUUCUCCUACCUCGAGAAAUCAACCGCGUGUGAGACGAACCAAAAAGAUUUGCGGCGUUGUCUCGAUCGCGUCGUGGUCUGGUGAUAGAUUGGGGAGACUGGAGGAACGAUGUUGUGUUUUCUUCUUGCUUGCUUAAUUCAAUUUGAAGGGAAGGCCGACUCAGAAAUUGCACCCGACCAUCACGUGUGGCAGGGCUUGGCCGUCCGCCUCCGACAACAAAACCGAUACAUGGUUCCUUGAGAUAACAGGGGUAUAGAGGUUUGUUGCUCUAGCAUAAUACAGCAAAACAUGAGGGGAGGUCGCCCGCCACUGAUUCGUGGUGGGGGCUUUUAAACAGUUGAGUGCGGGCGGCUUGGCCGUAGAAUCGCUGGGGUUGCCACUGAGGCGAGGUGGCAAGGCGUCCGGGGGGCCUUCCCCUAGCUUCGCCUCAACGUACCAAAUCGGGGGAUUAUAAGGUUCCGACGAGGACUCUCUGGAUUUUGCACAGGCUUCAAUAAGACUACAGCUCGGACUUCACUCGGUUGGCUGGCCGGUACCACCACAGGGGAUCAACGCCCGAUGAGCCGUUCCAAGGCACACCCUCCCUUCCGGCUUCCAGCUUCACCCGACUGCAGUCCAACUCGAACCUAACGGUUUGGCUUCCGGAAUAAGUUCCAGCCAGUUGACUCGAGGUACGUGGUUUCGUCCGCGCUGUGAUGUUUCAUCUCGGUGAAGAGGCGUGGGUUUCCUUUCUUUUUAGAGAUCCUUGAGGAAAAUGUGCAGGAGGCGAGAGCGUAAGGCCAGAAAUACAUGGUAUCCAGUUUCGAGCCGGGCUGGUCCCUUGUGUAGUUCAGAUGGACGGUUCUACCUCUGAAAGGGAUUACAAAAUCCUCGAAAAACGCAGAGGGGCAAAUGCAGGAAUAAGAUCCUGUUUUAGGCGUUGGCGUUGUCGCAUUAAGUUGGGUAACCGUUUCGUUCCUCCCGGUGGUAUAUAUUGCCUCAUGUGCAGACAGCCCGGACCAGACACCUGGAACGCCGUCGUCAGGCCGGGCUCUUGAUCCCAGCUUUGAGCGGUCGGGACGGGUCCAAGAGAAUUCCAACAACUCGGAUGCUAGACUGUCUAACUCUACAGGUCCUAGGACAAAGCUACAAAUGCCCGGACUAAGUGAAGUGUAGGCCCUAGCAGAUGUACAUGUAUGUACGGAGCCCAAAUUGAUGGGCCAACUUUUAGUAAAGUUUCACGGCACAAAAUGAAGUUUAGUGUACAUCUUUACCUGUCCCGUCUUUUUGCCUUUUAUAGAGGCUCUGCUCUGAUCGAAAUGACAGACCCAUGUGGGGGGGGGGUUAAAUUUUGAGAUAUGUGCAUUUUUUUCUGAAAGGAAUUAGACUUUUCACCCAUAAGAAAAUGUUUAGUUAUAUUCUGUCAGACGUUCUGAAUUCACGAGACGUUUAUUUGUGCAAGUUCCAAAACGUUGUUGGUGUAUUUUAGAUUAUUUUACCUAGUACAGUUCCACUGCUUCAGUAGUUCGAUUGAGGCUCAUUGACUGCAGCACUGUUUAAAAUGCACCAGGUAGGUUUUCGAAAUACUGAUUAAAAAAACUGAUCUCUAUGUAUUUCUCGAUUUAUAAGUUAUAGCUCCAAAAAGGCACGAGCCUGUAAGGUUUAAAGCAGUGAAUUUUACAGAAUAACAACUCUUGACAUUCAUCAUCAGUAAUUAAGAUAAUUAAGCAAUCGUCAAAGACGCCUACAGAAGUAUGUCGAGAAGCUUCACGACCGGCAUUGGUAUAUUUUCAACUUUUUAUUUCAGGAAAUAUAUUUGUUCGUGUCUGAAGAGAAAACACUGCACGUGAAGUGCAGAUGAAAAGAAGUGUUUCUCAUUAAAAGAAAGAAGUUGUGAUAAGGUCUA